rnacentral:tRNA from 1 species
GACCUUGUGGUGCAACGGUAGCACGUCUGACUCCAGGUCAGAAGAUUGUGUGUUCAAAUACUGCUGUCG